AAAACAGCAACACACGAUUAGUGAACACAUGCCCAGCACGCCGACACACGCCUUCCACAGGCCAAGCACAGGUGUGUGUGUGCACAAAUACACACGAGGAACGAACGGGAAACCCAUACUAAUGCUCGGGCCCCAAGCCCUGGGAAGGCACACCCUCUGCCGGCCACCCCAGUGUGCCCCAGUCACUGGUGCAAUAAACUUCCUGCCGUCCUCGAGAUGGGAGAAUCAGGACUCAUGUCAGGUGGGUGAGGCCACCCCUCUGAGCCCAGUAGACACUGCAUUCCCUUUCCUGGGAGGAGGGGGGUGCUCCCAGGCCUCUGGGGGGUCCAGGUAGAGACUUCCCCAAGCCUAACUGCCAACUGAAACCCUCUCCUGGUGAGGGCAGGUGGCUCAAGCUGACCUGGGCCAGAGAUAACCAGAGGUGAGGAACCCGCCUCACUGAUGCUGCUUUCUGACCCUGGCUGUGAGGAAUGGGCUGGGAGUGAGGGGGUGGCUUUUUCUUUCUUUCUUUUCUUUUUUUUUUUAAUAAAUGGAAACAAAAUCCAGGAGGAGCUGUCACCCUCACCUGAGUGUGACUAAGCUUCCUUUGCUUCAGUUUCUAUGUCACUCUUUUCCUCUUUGGUCCCGGGGACAGCCCAGCAGAUUCUCCUGGUCCUGACCUGGAGGGGGAAGGAGUUGCCCUGCCCCCUUUUACUUGUAUUAAAAAAAAAAAAAGAUGGGUUGAAAAUGUACUGAGAAAAAAUGUACUUUUUUAUAAAUAAAGUGUUUAAAACAAGCCCAA
rnacentral:lncRNA from 1 species